rnacentral:rRNA from 1 species
GAAGACGGCCAUAGUAGGUUGGAAACACCUGUUCCCAUUCCGAACACAGAAGUUAAGCUUCCUACGUUGUCUGCGUUAGUACCCGACAAGGUGUGAAACAGCAAUGCUGUCUUCU